rnacentral:rRNA from 1 species
UACGUAGGCAGCGAGCGUUGUUCGGAGUUACUGGGCGUAAAGGGUGUGUAGGCGGUUCUUUAAGUUUGGUGUGAAAUCUCCCGGCUCAACCGGGAGGGUGCGCCGAAUACUGAGGGACUAGAGUACGGGAGAGGAAAGUGGAAUUCCUGGUGUAGCGGUGAAAUGCGUAGAUAUCAGGAGGAACACCGGUGAUGUAGACGGCUUUCUGGACCGUAACUGACGCUGAGACACGAAAGCGUGGGUAGCAAACAGG